rnacentral:rRNA from 1 species
GAUGAACGCUGGCGGCGUGCCUAAUACAUGCAAGUCGAGCGAACAGACGAGGAGCUUGCUCCUCAGACGUUAGCGGCGGACGGGUGAGUAACACGUGGAUAACCCACCUAUAAGACUGGGAUAACUACGGGAAACCGGAGCUAAUAUCGGAUAAUAUAUUGAACCGCAUGGUUCAAUAGUGAAAGACGGUUUUGCUGUCACUUAUAGAUGGAUCCGCGCCGCAUUAGCUAGUGGGUAAGGUAACGGCUUACCAUGGCAACGCUGCGUGGCCGACCUGAGAGGGGGAUCGGCCACACUGGAACUGAGACACGGUCCAGACUCCUACGGGAGGAAGCAGUAGGGAAUCUUCCGCAAUGGGCGAAAGCCUGACGGAGCAACGCCGCGUGAGUGAUGAAGGUCUUCGGAUCGUAAAACUCUGUUAUUAGGGAAGAACAAAUGUGUAAGUAACUAUGCACGUCUUGACGGUACCUAAUCAGAAAGCCACGGCUAACUACGUG